rnacentral:rRNA from 1 species
UACGUAGGGGGCAAGCGUUGUCCGGAUUUAUUGGGCGUAAAGAGCGUGUAGGCGGCCUGGUAGGUCAGUUGUAAAAACUCGAGGCUCAACCUCGAGACGCCGAUUGAAACCAUCAGGCUAGAGUCCGGAAGAGGAGAGUGGAAUUCCCGGUGUAGCGGUGAAAUGCGCAGAUAUCGGGAAGAACACCCGUGGCUAAGGCGGCUCUCUAGUACGGUACUGACGCUGAGACGCGAAAGCGUGGGGAGCGAACAGG